GCACUUCCCGCACCGGGCCCGGGGCGGUCGGGGGGUGGAGCCGGAACGAGAGCCAAGGCGAGAGCCACGGAUAUUCCGCGGCGAAGAGGAGGCGGGACCGGGCUGCCCCGGCCUCCCGUGUAACGUUAUGCCUGUGCUCCCGCCCCUCUGCGGGGCAACCGGCCGGGUGUUUUGCAGGCCCGGCCUGGCGGGGAGGAGUCCUCGAGGUCGCGUUGCUGAGCUUCCCAGCCGCCGAAAGGCCGCGAGGUACCUCUGGCGAGAGGAGGAGGAGGAGGAAGAGGGAGAAGGCAGGAAGGGAGCCAGCCGCUUCGCUUUGAACCCAUGGAAGGACUGCAGGAUACUUUGUGCACAGAAAAACCAACAAAGUGGAGUCAACUACAUGCAGCAGCAGCUUCAUGGGCUUGAAGGAUCACUUGAAGCAUGACCUUGGGCACCUCUAUGAGGAUACAUCAGAGACUCAAAUAAGUGCAAUAGCACCUUGGUCAAUGAUAGAAAAGCCAACUAUGGAUAAAAUUAAUUCUAGAAAGGAUGAUCCUAAGAAAGAACUGUCUGAAGAAACCGGAACGUUCAGUUGUGAUUCUGAGAAAAAUACAAAUUCUGAUAAUGAAUUGGGAAAAGCAACUAAAAUUAGAACAGAACCAUGCUCCUUAUCUAAAGAUCACAGACAGACGCAUCCAUUCUUAGAACCACAUAUACUAAAGCGCAAUGAAAUUUUAAAAGACAUUAAGUUAGAGGAAGUUCAGAUAGGAACUAAAGAAAUUAAAAAGCCUCCUGAUAUGGUGAAAGAAUAUCAAACCAAACUUGACUUUGCACUUAAGUUAGGUUACUCAGAAGAGCAAGUUCAACUUGUGCUGAAUAAACUUGGUACUGAUGCUUUAAUCAAUGAUAUAUUGGGGGAACUGGUCAAACUUGGAAAUAAAACUGAGGCAGAUCAGAGUGUAAGUUCUAUUAACACUAGUGUAAUUCGAGAAGCAUCUUCUGUUGACUCUCAAAGAUCUGACUCUCCCCUUCAGGAGGAUGUGCUUGUGGAUGGUGACAACCUGAGACCAAUAGUUAUUGAUGGCAGCAAUGUGGCAAUGAGCCACGGAAACAAAGAAGUAUUCUCUUGUCGUGGGAUAAAACUGGCUGUGGACUGGUUUUUGGAAAGAGGACAUAAAGAUGUCACAGUGUUUGUUCCAGCAUGGAGAAAAGAGCAGUCUCGACCAGAUGCACUCAUUACAGAUCAAGAAAUAUUGCGUAAAUUGGAAAAAGAGAAAAUUCUGGUGUUCACUCCAUCACGGCGAGUUCAAGGGAGGAGGGUGGUAUGCUAUGAUGACAGAUUCAUAGUGAAGUUGGCAUUUGAGUCAGAUGGUAUAAUUGUAUCUAAUGAUAACUACAGGGAUCUAGCUAAUGAAAAGCCAGAAUGGAAGAAAUUUAUUGAUGAGCGACUCCUGAUGUAUUCAUUUGUCAAUGACAAAUUCAUGCCUCCAGAUGAUCCUCUUGGCCGACAUGGACCAAGUCUGGAGAACUUUCUGAGGAAGAAACCUGUUGUACCAGAACAUAAGAAGCAACCCUGUCCAUAUGGGAAGAAAUGCACUUAUGGACACAAAUGCAAAUAUUACCAUCCAGAAAGAGGAAAUCAACCUCAGAGGUCAGUAGCUGAUGAACUUCGUGCCAUGUCUAGGAACACAGCUGCCAAAGCCACUAGUGAAGGAGGGCUAGUGAAAAGCAACAGUGUUCCUUGUAGUACUAAGACAGAUCACACUACAGAUCUCAAGCGAACUACUCCAAAGAGGCAAUCGGAUCCUAGCAUAAGGACUCAAGUCUACCAAGACUUGGAAGAAAAGCUUCCCACCAAAAAUAAAUUGGGAACCAGGUCUGUACCUUCUUUAGUUAGUAUACCAAGUUCUGCUGCUGCAAAACCCCAAAGUACUGCACCUUUAACCAAUGGCCUUCCAUCUGGAGUUCAUUUCCCACCUCAGGAUCAAAGACCACAGGGACCGUAUUCUCCAGUGAUAAUGACAACCAAAAAUUAUGGAACGCCAAUGCCUUAUGAGCAGUAUCCCAAAUGUGAUUCUCCUGUGGAUGUAGGUUAUUACUCUAUGCUCAGUGCAUAUUCAAAUCUAAGUAUCUCUGGUCCCCGAAGUCCCGAACGACGUUUCUCUUUGGACACAGAUUACAGAAUUAGUUCUGUGGCUUCUGAUUGUAGUAGUGAAGGGAGCAUGAGUUGCGGCAGUAGCGAUUCCUACAUGGGCUACAACGAUAGAUCCUAUGUGAGUUCUCCUGACCCUCAACUGGAAGAGAAUUUAAAAUGUCAACAUAUGCAUCCCCAUAGCCAUCUGAACUCACAGUCGUUCUUACAGAGUUACCACGAUACACUAACCAGAGUGCAGAGUUAUAGUCAUGAAGAACCAAAGCAUCAUCCAAAGCCUCUCACUCCAUACAUGGCCGUGCACUUUCAGCAUCCAAACAUGGGAAGCCGUUCUACUUGUCCUAUUGACUACCCUGCUUCUCAGAGUUCACAGCAUUCAAAAAGCAUGCCUCUGGGGAGAGCUCUUGCAUCCACAAGACUGGACAGUGUAUCAGACUCACGCUUGUAUGAUAAUUCUCCAUUGAGAAAAAGAAAAACAUACUCCGCUCAAGAUGGACUCGGUAGUUGGGAUAGGCCAGGCUAUGGGAUGGAUACAUAUGGCUAUCGUCAAACUUACUCUUUACCCAGUAAUCCCACCCCACCAUGUUACGAGCAGUUUACUUUCCAAAGCUUACCAGAGCAACCCGAUCAGCCUUGGCAGAUACCUUACUGUGGAAUGCCUCAAGACCUUCCAAGGUACCAAGAUAGUCGAGAGAAAGUCUACAUCAACCUGUGCAACAUUUUCCCGCCUGAUCUGGUGAGGAUUGUUAUGAAAAGGAAUCCUCACAUGGCAGAUGCUCAGCAGCUUGCUGCAGCCAUUUUAGUGGAAAAGUCUCAGCUAGGUUAUUGAUGACAUGAUAUUGAUGAUGCAUCUUUAUGGUGUCUAUUAGUUCAGUUUCAGCUGUAUUGCUGAGGGAGGUUUGCUACAAUAGCAUUUGUGAUCUCUUUCUCAGCAAGGAGGUUAUAUAGUAAUCCAUAUAUGUGAAAUACUGUGCCAUGGAACCUGUAUGUACAACCCCAGACACUGGAAGUAACAGGAUUUAUUUUAAAUACUCAGUUUUUUAAAAAAAAAUAUUUCAUGGCUGGAAUGUCUCUCCAGCUGAAUAUAUUAAAAAACUAUGAUGUCUCAAGUAAGAAUCCCUAGUGCAUGUGGGUUUUAUAUGCAGCACUUUUUAAUAUUUGUUACAUAUUUAUUAAAUUAUUGGGUGUUUUAUCCUUCAAGUGCAAAGCAUUUUUUUCAAAACAGCAGAAAACUGAAGAGGAUUUUAUGUGCCCAGCCAACUUUUUUUCAAGUCAAGCUUAUUAGGAUCUAUUUUUUCAUAAUUAAGUUAUUUAAUUUUAUUGUGUGAUUUUUCUUUGUAUAUAAUCAUUUUAUUUAUAGAAAACAACAGUCUUUUACAGCACUGAAUUUUUUUAAUGUAUAAGUUACCAGUUUUUACAUUGAAAUGGGUAACAAUAUAUUAGUACUUUAUAGUAUGGCACUUUUUAAUUUGUUUGGCUAUGGAUUUAAUUUAUUUGUUGAUUACUGUUAAUUUUGGUGUAAGCAGAAGCAAUCAGUAGGAGAGAAACCUGUUUUUAUUAAUUUAUUAUGCAGAUGAAAAAAACUUUUAUGUGCAGGUUCUGAAAUUAUUAAGCUUAUCCAGUUCUUGAUUGUCACAAAUUUGACUACAAAUAUAUCCGUUUAGUCAGUAAUCUUGUGCAGCCAAUGUACAUUUCCAUUAAUCAGAAAUGGCAUUGAAAAGUGUAUCCCUUGUUCCUUUACUUAAUGCACAGGUAUUUCAUAAAAUAACUGUUUUUAAAGAAACAAAUUGUGUUCUCAAUGCAAUUUUUGUAUAUAAGAUUGUGUAUUUUCAUGCUAUUUAUUGAGAAGGUUUUAACAUUGUGUUCAGGAAAUGCAACAUCUUAACUGCACUAUAGUAAUGGUAAUUAUAGAUAAAAACAGCACAUUCGUUUUGUGAAAUACUGUAUAGAAUUAGCUUUGUCUGGCCUAUUGCAUUAUAUAGGCCCAAUUCUUGCCAUGAACAACAUAGCUUUAGAAGCAGACACUGUCAUUUCUUCUAGUAUUAGUAUGGGAGAUUUCUGGUUUUAAGUUUUGAGCUUUUCUAGCUCUUGUAAAAUGUAAUUUUACAUAAAUAGAGUUAACAGUAGAUCUCACAGUGCCUGAUACCGUAAACAUCAUGAUUGACUGCUCAUAUAGUCCCUUCAGAGCUUCACACUGUGAUGAUUCCCAAGUUUACAUAAUCACUGCUGAUAACUGGGUAAGAGGACUGCAACUUGAAGAUGCUGUAGAACCAGAAAGUACCUACGCUGUUGAUACAAAUUGUAUCUUUAACUAUUAGAACUAUUUAAUUUAUAGAUCUGACUUUUAAAAAGAACAUUGAAUUGUAUGAAAAUGAUUUUAGACUUUGGGCAACAUUUUAUCUUUUAUUUUAAAAAAAAAAAAAUAGUUCAAACCUAAACUUCUGUUUUGUUUUGUUUUGUUUUGUUUUGUUUUGUUUUAAUACCCCCUUGGCCAUUUAUCAUAAAACCGAGUAACUAAAAAUAAUGAUAAAAUGCUGCCUAAAAAGAUGUCCAAGCACCUUGUGAAUACAUUUUCACUACUUACGCAACACUGUGUGUUGUAAGAAGUAGAAUGUUGAUACACAGUAAAUGCUUCUGCAAAGCAUUAUACUUUUAGAGGUAUCCAGUAAUCUGAACCAUGUUCAGCAACUUUAAUUCAGGAAUUACUCUUCUACAGUGUUCACUAUUGUAUAAUCAAAGAGGAUAUCGCUUCUGUUAGGUUCAUCUUAUAUUUUGUCCAUUUCUCCUGAAGAAAAACCUCUUUCAAUAUUUCUUUAUUUUGUCCUCAACGUCCUUGUUCCUUGCUUUUGCUAAAUAUAUUUUGUUGGGAGAGAUUGUAUAUUUUGCAUAGGUAUGCAGAUCCUCUUUCCUUUGAUAUAGAACUGACUUGUUGCAGAGGGCUUAUUAUUCACAUGUAACUUCAAAGAUUUUAUAACAAGUAUUCAUGCAUCCUUAAAAUAUAACUGGAUUGGUUGCGGCUGGUGAGGGCGAAAUGCAGAAACAUGAUUUCUGGAAUAGAAGCAUUUUAUAUUUAUUUUCAGUUGAUGUAUAUGGAAUCAUACUUAGGAUUGACUGCAGCAUCCUUUCUUGAAAAAAGGAUAUGAUUGUACAUUGUGUGUUAUAGUGUUAAAAUGUGCAAUUGCUGGACUCGCGUAAUGCAGAAUUUAAACGCAUUGAAGAGAAAUGUGCUGGCUUAACUGAAUUUAGGGCACAUGGCAGCUCUGCUUUGAUGCUCAUCUUCAGAGCUGAUAUGGUCUUCUCUAGUUACAAUUAAAAGCAGGUUUCUCCCCCAUCCCAUCCCACACCAUACCACAUAAAUGUCUCAGUUGUGUUCCACUGCAAUAACUUAACAUAACUGGCUCUACUGUGUACUGCAUUUUACAGAAAGCGCAGAGUGUGAAAUAAUCAAUUUUCUGCCCUCCUUCUAUCAUUCUUUAGUAGGAAUACUUGGUUUGGGCUAAGUGUAAUUCUGCCAUCUUAUAAAUGGUUCAAUUUGAUUAUGCUCAUUUUUGUUCUUUUUUGUGCUGCACAGGUCUUUAAUAAGCUAUUUGAGUAAAAAGUGUUCUUUUAAGUUCUAACAUUUAGAAAAUCCAGGAAUGUUUGGUUACCUGUUACCUGCAUACCUUAUGUGGUCAGGGUAUAGAAGCAGGAAAGCCAGAUGAAAAUGAACUACCUAAGGCCUCGUAAGGCCCAAGAAACUCAAGGAUCAGUCACUCACUCUUAAAUCCGAUCUGCUGAAGAGGCUUGCUCUUGCUGGAGAAAAAUUGGAGGCAGAAAUGAAUUGUUCACCUCCCUGAGCUCCUGGAAGAAAGACGGGAUAGCUAACAUUCAACCCAAUGAUCUAUUGUUGACAGCUUUAAUCCUUUAGUUCAGCGGUUCUCAACCUGUGGGUCGCGACCCUGUUGGGGGUCGAAUGACGAUUAGCCGGGGGUCGCCUAAGACUAUCGGAAAUAUGGGAAGUAUACUUGCGAGUCGAAGAAUCGCGAAUUCGGCUUCAGGCGCAAUGAAUUAAAAAAGAGAGAAAUCUUUGCUCUCAAGCCAGCUGCAAUCACUCCCAAUCGCUAGCCUAAUCUGGCUUCAGGCGCGAUAAACUUAAUAGGGGAGGAGUCUCCGCUUUAAUGCCUCCGUCCUCAAGGCAAUCGCAAGCACUUCAGAUCGCUAGCCAAUACAGCUUCAGGUGCGAUAAAUUCAAAAAAACAUUUUGCCGCUCCCCCCCACCCCACCCCCCGUUGAGGCGCACUGAGAUCACUGCCUAAAAAAAAAAAUACAGUUGGGGUCGCCACAUCGUGGGGAAUUGUAUUAAAGGGGUCACAGCACUAUAAAGGUUGAGAACCACUGCUUUAGUUCAACUCUUUUUGACAUGAUACACCAGAUAUUCAGAGGUUGCUGUUAUUGUUCACCUCCUGAAACUGGUUCUUCUAGAACAGAGGUUGGAGCCAUCUGUUCUAGAGUAUAUUUUAGUAGGUUUUCAGAAAUGCUGUGUUGUGCUGGAAUAAAAAAAGAGAAUAAUUAUAGUAGAUCUGAUCUAUUUCGUAUCAAAUGGUUGAUGAAAUUCAGAAACACACCCACCAACUGUAUGCACUUCCAUUAACACGAGGAUUAAUUUACAUUAUCUCAAAGAGUCUUUUCAUUGAGCAAAUUAAAAAAACAUGCAUGAUUGGUGCAUUCAUGCAUAUCAAUUUUGGAUCCAGGCAAUUAUGAUUGUAAAGUUUAAAUGUAAGUUUAUUGGGUAAAAUUUUAGCCUUGAAUGUUCAUACAAUUUACACUUUGUUCCAUAAUUACAGAAGUUGUCCUGGACAAAAUGAAAAUAUAAUUAUGUUAUUUUUGGCAGUUAUGGAUGGAUAUCAAUAACUGGAAUCAUUUCAGUAUUUGCAAUGUACCGAUACAUAGGAGUUCAUAGUGUUAUAUUUUGUGCAAAUGCCUACAUUUGUACAAAUACUUUUUAAAGAUAAACUGAAGUUUUCAGCGGCUUUGUGUGUUUCACAUUAACAUUUUUGAAACUUCUAUAAUCUUUUUAAAAUAAAUAUGUUUUCUUAGAUAUGAGACUCAAAUAUUAUUAGUUUUAGGAAAGUAUCAUUGUAUUGUUAUAGCUAACCUUUUAUUCCUAAAUUCCCGGGCAUAUCAAAAAUUAUUUUUUAUGAGAAAAUGUAAUUGCAGCCCCUUCUUUUUGCGGCUGCGAUGCAUUAGAAUGUCAUUUUAAAUCUGAUAAUACUACGGAAAAUAAAACACAAUAUUGAUGUUUUGUGGUAUAGCGAAGGCUUUCCUUUAAAUUAUUUCUACUGCUUUGCUUGCAGGAAUUUUUCACUUCAGUGCAGAGGGUUUCUCUCCUUUUACAGUUCUAAACUACAAAAGAAGCAAUUUGCAAAUGGGCCAUUCAAUACACCCCAGUCUUUAGUUGCUUUCUUAGUUGAAAGAAUGGUGUGAUCUUGCCCAAAAUAUACAAGGUUCUUGAAAUAGAGUUGGAACUUUAAAAACAAGGGAGAGGCAGAAUGAUUGUGAAAAACUUCAGCAAUAACAAAACCAAGAUGUUUUAUCAUGGUUGCUUCUAUUCUUAAUGAGGUUUACAAAGAUUUGGGUAGACAAACCCAUAGCUUUAGUUCAUUUAGUUCAUUCUUUUUAAAGCUAUCUAAAUUCUCUGCUCUUUUUUCCCUUCAAACUGUUCAAUUUGGGUGUAGUCAUUAUAGAUCCAUUUAAAUCUAUGGAACUGAAAUUAGUAUCUACAGGAUUGAAGACAGUCCUAGUGAUUUUGCUCUAUCUGCUUUUGAUUUUAGAAGUAUUAGUAGUUUCUGUAGUAUCCAUGAAUAUUGUCCAUCAUGGUACUGUCAGCAAAUCAGCAAUAAAACUUAAAUAUUCCUUAGCUUUGGAUGUUGUGUCCAUUAUAUGUUAAGUAUACAUUAAAAUGGAACAGUAUUAAAUACUGUGAUCUAUGCCUUUUUAUUCUAAUCUCUCUACCCUUUUCUUCCCUUUCUUUUAUGUGUAUGUGUAUUUUCGGGUUUUAUUCCUUUAAUAUUAUCCCCUCACUUGCCUAUCUUCCUUCCAGUUUAACUUACUUCUCACAAUAAAUCCACUUUCUACUUGCCUCCUCUAUGAGUUACUCAAAUUAUUUACUUCCAUUCUGUGCCUACCCUUUUCUUGUGAUACAUACCCAUAUAGAUUGUAACACCUAUAUACAAAUACCAUGUUAUAGCAGAGAAAAUAGAGCCUGGUGUUUUAAAAAAUAUUCAGUAGUAUUUGUGGAUAUAUUUCCUAAUUUGUGGAUAUAUUGAAAUGUUAAAUAAGCCGUUAAUUCAUAUCUGUUGACAUGUCUUGAUAAAAUAAUAAAGAAAAAUAGUUAUUUUGUUAUUUGUGGCUGGGAAAUUUAAUUCUUAAAACAUAAACUAGUAAAAUUGAAACUUAAAAUAGGAUUGAUACAUUCAAGAUCAAGUUUGAGACAGAUUGAUAUGCAUUAUACAGUCAAGUUGUAGGUGGUAUUGUAUUUAACCAUUGAACAAGCCUUUCUUUAAAGCUUACACUUGAUGAUAAAAUAGUCCAUAUUUCUGUAAUUUGUGACUAUCUACAUCUUAUUUCAGUAUAUACAGGUGAAACUCGAAAAAUUAGAAUAUCGUGCAAAAGUUCAUUUAUUUCAGUAAUGCAACUUAAAAGGUGAAACUAAUAUAUAAGGUAGACUCAUUACAUGCAAAGCAAGAUAGUUCACGCCUUGAUUUGUCAUAAUUUUGAUGAUUAUGGCUGACAGCUCAUAAAAACCCCAAAUUCACAAUCUCAGAAAAUUAGAAUAUUAUAUGAAAUCAAUAAAACAAGGAUUGUACAUAGAACAAUAUCGGACCUCUGAAAAGUAUAAGCAUGCAUACAUACUCAGUACUUGGUUUGGGCCCCUUUUGCAUCAAUUACUGCCUCAAUGCAGUGUGGCAUGGAUGCUAUCAGCCUGUGGCACUGCUAAGGUGUUAUGGAAGACCAGGAUGCUUCAAUAGUGGCCUUCAGUUCUUCUGCAUUGUUCGGUCUCAUGUCUCUCAUCUUUCUCUUGGCAAUGCCCCAUAGAUUCUCUAUGGGGUUCAGGUCAGGCGAGUUUGCUGGCCAAUCAAGCACAGUAAUCCCAUGGCAUUGAACCAGGUUUUGGUACUUUUGGCAGUGUGGGCAGGUGCCAAGUCCUGCUGGAAAAUGAAGUCAGCAUCCCCAUAAAGCUCAUCUGUGGAAGGAAGCAUGAAGUGCUCCAAAAUCUCAUGGUAGACAGCUACGUUGACCCUGGACUUAAUGAAGCACAGUGGACCAACACCAGCAGAUGACAUGGCUCCCCAAAUCAGCACAGACUGUGGAAACUUCACACUGGACUUCAAGCAUCUUGCAGUGUGUGCCUCUCCAUUCUUCCUCCAGACUCUGGGUCCUUGGUUUCCAAAUGAGAUGCAAAAGUUGCUCUCAUCAGAAAAGAGGACUUUGGACCACUGAGCAACAGACCAGUUCUUUUUUUCUUUAGCCGAGAUAAGACGCUUCUGAUAUUGUUUGUUGUUCAGGAGCGGCUUGACGAGGAAUACAACAUUUGAAGCCCAUGUCCAGGAUCCGUCUGUGUGGUGGCUCUUGAAGCACUGACUCCAGUCUCAGUCCACUUCUUGUAAAAGUCCCCAACACUUUUGAAUGGCCUUUUCCUGACAAUCCUCUCCAGGCUGCGGUCAUCCCUGCUGCUUGUGCACUUUUUUCUUCCACACUUUUCCCUUCCACAUAACUUUCCAUUAAUGUACUUUGAUACAGCACUUUGGGGACAUCCAACUUCUUUUGCAAUUACCUUUUGAGGCUUUCCCUCCUUAUGGAAGGUGUCAAUGAUGGUUUUCUGCACAACUGUCAGGUCAGCAGGCUUUCCCAUGAUUGUGAUUCCUACUGAACCAGACUGAGAGACCAUUUAAAGGCUCAGGAACCCUUUGCAGGAGUUAUGGUUUAAUUAACUGAUUAGGUGGGACACUGAGCCUAGAAUAUUGAACCUUUUCACAGUAUUCUAAUUUUCUGAGAUUGUGAAUUUGGGGAUUUCAUGAGCUGUAAGCCAUAAUCAUCAAAAUUAUGACAAGGCUUGAACUAUCUUGCUUUGCAUCUAAUGAGUCUAUCUCAUAUAUUAGUUUCACCUUUUAAGUUGCAUUACUGAAAUAAAUGAACUUUUGCACGAUAUUCUAAUUUUUCGAGUUUCACCUUUAUAUCGGCAUAGUUGAAACUGUGAUGAAUUCUAUAUGUGUAGAAAUGAGAGUUUAGAUGCUUAAAUGGUGCUUAAUACUAAAUAGCAGUAAACAUCAAUUUGAUCUUGCUUUUUUUU